rnacentral:tRNA from 1 species
UCUAAUAUGGCAGAUAAGUGUAGUAGAUUUAAGAUCUACUUAUAAAGUAAUUGUAACCUUUUAUUAGAA